rnacentral:lncRNA from 1 species
AUGCUAGAUACAGGAGGGAAAGUUUUCCACUUAUUCUGGUGGUAUUCAGAAAAAAUGAAUAGAAAUAUCUGCAUCUGGAGAGCCAAAGAGGAAAACUUUACAAAGAAACCAACCAAAAGUGGUCUGAAGAAGAAUCCUGUGUAGAUCCUCCAUGAAGCAAGGAGAAAGCAAUUGACUUUGGGAAUUCUACUGUUUUCCUUGGGGUAAUAACGUUCCUCCUCUGAUUUGAACAAGUCUAAUUCUUUUUUGUUAUACAUUCAUAACUUCAUGGUAAUAUCAGUAGUUUAAACUGUUAUAUAUGGAUUUGUACCUUUGAACUUCUUUCAAAAUGUUUCAUAUGAGUACUUUUCCCCAAAUACACUGAUAYAAUUUUAUGAAAUAAACUUGGUGAUUUGAUUUCA